GUCAGCUCGUGCCGUGAGGUGUCGGGUUAAGUCCCAUACGAGCGCAACCCUUAUCGUUAGUUGCCAUCUGGUAAUGCAGGGACUCUAGCGAAACUGCCACCGUAAGGUGAGAGGAAGUGGGGAUGACGUCAAAUCAGCACGGCCCUUAUGUCCAGGGCUACACACGUGUUACAAUGGUCGGUACAGAGGGCAGCUACCUGGUGACAGGAUGCUAAUCUCGAAAACCGGUCUCAGUUCGGAUCGAAGUCUGCAACUCGACUUCGUGAAGCUGGAUUCGCUAGUAAUCGUGGAUCAGCAUGCCACGGUCGAAUACGUUCCCGGGCCUU
rnacentral:rRNA from 1 species